rnacentral:rRNA from 1 species
GACGAACGCUGGCGGCGUGCCUAAUACAUGCAAGUCGAACGAACUCUGGUAUUGAUUGGUGCUUGCAUCAUGAUUUACAUUUGAGUGAGUGGCGAACUGGUGAGUAACACGUGGGAAACCUGCCCAGAAGCGGGGGAUAACACCUGGAAACAGAUGCUAAUACCGCAUAACAACUUGGACCGCAUGGUCCGAGUUUGAAAGAUGGCUUCGGCUAUCACUUUUGGAUGGUCCCGCGGCGUAUUAGCUAGAUGGUGGGGUAACGGCUCACCAUGGCAAUGAUACGUAGCCGACCUGAGAGGGUAAUCGGCCACAUUGGGACUGAGACACGGCCCAAACUCCUACGGGAGGCAGCAGUAGGGAAUCUUCCACAAUGGACGAAAGUCUGAUGGAGCAACGCCGCGUGAGUGAAGAAGGGUUUCGGCUCGUAAAACUCUGUUGUUAAAGAAGAACAUAUCUGAGAGUAACUGUUCAGGUGUUGACGGUAUUUAACCAGAAAGCCACGGCUAACUACGUGCCAGCAGCCGCGGUAAUACGUAGGUGGCAAGCGUUGUCCGGAUUUAUUGGGCGUAAAGCGAGCGCAGGCGGUUUUUUAAGUCUGAUGUGAAAGCCUUCGGCUCAACCGAAGAAGUGCAUCGGAAACUGGGAAACUUGAGUGCAGAAGAGGACAGUGGAACUCCAUGUGUAGCGGUGAAAUGCGUAGAUAUAUGGAAGAACACCAGUGGCGAAGGCGGCUGUCUGGUCUGUAACUGACGCUGAGGCUCGAAAGUAUGGGUAGCAAACAGGAUUAGAUACCCUGGUAGUCCAUACCGUAAACGAUGAAUGCUAAGUAUUGGAGGGUUUCCGCCCUUCAGUGCUGCAGCUAACGCAUUAAGCAUUCCGCCUGGGGAGUACGGCCGCAAGGCUGAAACUCAAAGGAAUUGACGGGGGCCCGCACAAGCGGUGGAGCAUGUGGUUUAAUUCGAAGCUACGCGAAGAACCUUACCAGGUCUUGACAUACUAUGCAAAUCUAAGAGAUUAGACGUUCCCUUCGGGGACAUGGAUACAGGUGGUGCAUGGUUGUCGUCAGCUCGUGUCGUGAGAUGUUGGGUUAAGUCCCGCAACGAGCGCAACCCUUAUUAUCAGUUGCCAGCAUUAAGUUGGGCACUCUGGUGAGACUGCCGGUGACAAACCGGAGGAAGGUGGGGAUGACGUCAAAUCAUCAUGCCCCUUAUGACCUGGGCUACACACGUGCUACAAUGGAUGGUACAACGAGUUGCGAACUCGCGAGAGUAAGCUAAUCUCUUAAAGCCAUUCUCAGUUCGGAUUGUAGGCUGCAACUCGCCUACAUGAAGUCGGAAUCGCUAGUAAUCGCGGAUCAGCAUGCCGCGGUGAAUACGUUCCCGGGCCUUGUACACACCGCCCGUCACACCAUGAGAGUUUGUAACACCCAAAGUCGGUGGGGUAACCUUUUAGGAACCAGCCGCCUAAGGUGGGACAGAUGAUUAGGGUG